rnacentral:rRNA from 1 species
AUUGAACGCUGGCGGCAGGCUUAACACAUGCAAGUCGAACGGUAGCAGGAGAAAGCUUGCUUUCUUGCUGACGAGUGGCGGACGGGUGAGUAAUGCUUGGGAAUCUGGCUUAUGGAGGGGGAUAACUACGGGAAACUGUAGCUAAUACCGCGUAGAAUCGGAAGAUGAAAGUGCGGGACCGCAAGGCCGCAUGCCAUGAGAUGAGCCCAAGUGGGAUUAGGUAGUUGGUGGGGUAAGGGCCUACCAAGCCUGCGAUCUCUAGCUGGUCUGAGAGGAUGGCCAGCCAUACUGGAACUGAGACACGGUCCAGACUCCUACGGGAGGCAGCAGUGGGGAAUAUUGCGCAAUGGGGGGAACCCUGACGCAGCCAUGCCGCGUGAAUGAAGAAGGCCUUCGGGUUGUAAAGUUCUUUCGGUAUUGAGGAAGGUUGAUGUGUUAAUAGUACAUCAAAUUGACGUUAAAUACAGAAGAAGCACCGGCUAACUCCGU